rnacentral:rRNA from 1 species
GCCUUACACAUGCAAGUCGAACGUCGACAGUUCUUCGGAUGCUGACGAGUGGCGAACGGGUGAGUAAUACAUCGGAACGUGCCCGAGAGUGGGGGAUAACGAAGCGAAAGCUUUGCUAAUACCGCAUACGAUCUCAGGAUGAAAGCAGGGGACCGCAAGGCCUUGCGCUCACGGAGCGGCCGAUGGCAGAUUAGGUAGUUGGUGGGAUAAAAGCUUACCAAGCCGACGAUCUGUAGCUGGUCUGAGAGGACGACCAGCCACACUGGGACUGAGACACGGCCCAGACUCCUACGGGAGGCAGCAGUGGGGAAUUUUGGACAAUGGGCGCAAGCCUGAUCCAGCCAUGCCGCGUGCAGGAUGAAGGCCUUCGGGUUGUAAACUGCUUUUGUACGGAACGAAAAGACUCUGGUUAAUACCUGGGGUCCAUGACGGUACCGUAAGAAUAAGCACCGGCUAACUACGUGCCAGCAGCCGCGGUAAUACGUAGGGUGCGAGCGUUAAUCGGAAUUACUGGGCGUAAAGCGUGCGCAGGCGGUUAUGUAAGACAGAUGUGAAAUCCCCGGGCUCAACCUGGGAACUGCAUUUGUGACUGCAUAGCUAGAGUACGGCAGAGGGGGAUGGAAUUCCGCGUGUAGCAGUGAAAUGCGUAGAUAUGCGGAGGAACACCGAUGGCGAA